rnacentral:rRNA from 1 species
UGGGGAAUAUUGCACAAUGGGCGAAAGCCUGAUGCAGCAACGCCGCGUGAGUGAUGAAGGUCUUCGGAUUGUAAAGCUCUGUCUUUUGGGACGAUAAUGACGGUACCAAAGGAGGAAGCCACGGCUAACUACGUGCCUGCAGCCGCGGUAAUACGUAGGUGGCGAGCGUUGUCCGGAUUUACUGGGCGUAAAGGGUGCGUAGGCGGAUGUUUAAGUGAGAUGUGAAAUACCCGGGCUUAACUUGGGUGCUGCAUUUCAAACUGGAUAUCUAGAGUGCAGGAGAGGAGAAUGGAAUUCCUAGUGUAGCGGUGAAAAUGCGUAGAGAUUAGGAAGAACACCAAGUGGCGAAGGCGAUUCUCUGGACUGUAACUGACGCUGAGGCACGAAAGCGUGGGUAGCAAACAGGAUUAGAUACCCUGGUAGUCCACGCCGUAAAACGAUGAGUACUAGGUGUAGGAGGUAUCGACCCCUUCUGUGCCGCAGUAAAACACAUUAAAGUACUCCGCCUGGGAAAGUACGAUCGCAAAG